rnacentral:rRNA from 1 species
UACGUAGGGGGCAAGCGUUGUCCGGAUUUAUUGGGCGUAAAGAGCGUGUAGGCGGCUAUGCAGGUCCGCUGUGAAAACUCGAGGCUCAACCUCGAGACGUCGGUGGAAACCGCAUGGCUAGAGUCCGGAAGAGGAGAGUGGAAUUCCCGGUGUAGCGGUGAAAUGCGCAGAUAUCAGGAAGAACACCUAUGGCGAAGGCAGCUCUCUGGGACGGUACUGACGCUGAGACGCGAAAGCGUGGGGAGCGAACAGG